UUACUUUCAGCAAUGGAUCUCUUGGCUCUCGCAUCGAUGAAGAACGCAGCGAAUCGCGAUAAGGAAUGUGAAUUGCAGAUUUUCCGUGAAUCAUCGAAUCUUUGAACGCACCUUGCGCUCCUUGGUAUUCCGAGGAGCAUGCCUGUUUGAGUGUCAU
rnacentral:rRNA from 1 species